CAGGUCCCUGGGCGCUGCCGAGAGGCUGGGAGCCCGGGAACCGGUUCCCGGACUUGAACGGACCGAGAAAGAGCGCGCCGCCUGCACAAAUGGACUGGAGCGGCCGGGUGCCCUGGAGGCCCCUGGGAAUUGCAUUCCUUGCGCAUGUGGAGAGUGAGCCCCUAUGAGAAAACUCAAGACUCAGAAACAAUAAAGGUUACAGAGAUGAAAUUGACAGAGCCUGAAUUUCAGGUUAUGAUUCUGUAUGGUUUCUUUGGUGCUGCAUUAGACCUGAGCUCUGAUUGAAAAUUCUUCCACGCUCGCUACAUUCCAAAACUUUAUCUCCAAUAUGAAUUUCCAGAUGCCUCACAAGGUCUGAGCUCCAUCUGAAGGCUUUCCCAUGCUUGUCACAUUCAUAGGGCUUUUCUCCACUAUGAAUUCUAUGAUGUCGAAUAAAGUGUGAGCUCUGA
rnacentral:lncRNA from 1 species